GGAAGAAGAUGCUUCAGCAGCUGCGUCCGACAGAAGACGAGUAGCUUGGCCACCAGAAUCUCGAUUCGUUUGGGACUCCGACUGGUGCGAGCGUGGACAAAAGUGUAUAGCCAUGCCCAGCCCGCGGGAAUGAUUUUGCUGGAAGGAUGCUGCCGUCGCUGUCGACAAGACGGCCCAAGGUUUCUUGCGUAGCGGACCUCGCAGAUUACGAGAUCGUAUCCUUGCAUUAGGCUGUGCCCAUCACUGCUCUUCGAGGUUAUCUCGACAUGCAGAAGCCGCCAAUGCCAGUGACAGAAGAGUCUGACAUUAGAUCUCUACGCUAUGCGGCACACAGGCAGUACACACUAUGUACACGGCAAAUUGGGCAAGCACGUUCGUUGUCGUCUUCCAGCCUGCGUUGUGAAUACCAUCAGGCAAAGAUAUCCAAAUCCUGCACCACCUCAGCCUUCUCAGGAGGCUUCCACCUGGAAUUUGGCAGGGAAACACGCUUCUCCAAGGCAGGAACAUUGAGGUUGCCAUUUGCAACCGCUACCACCUCACACAUGAGCUUGUCAACAUACUCAUAGCUCUUUCUGCCGUAUAAUUUUCUAUUUGGCCACAGUCUUCUUUAUGCUUUGAGAACUGGACUUUAUACCUUCC